rnacentral:lncRNA from 1 species
CAAGUUAGGACAAAAAAAGCAUAUUCCAUGAUUCCUUAGAGGUUCACCAAUUGAUUAUGAACUAAAUGAUCUCCUUUUUUAAAUUCUUCUAUUGCUGGAGGCUUUAAUUCUUUGAGAAUGGUGAAAAGCUCUCAUUAUUUCAUCUUUUUUUAUGUAUAUAAUCAUCUUUAUUGUAAUUCAUGAGUGCAUUAAAAACUGAUAUGGAUCUCUUUAUUAACAUGUAGAUUCUCAUGGGCUUAUACUUUUUACUUUUACUUGAGAAUGGUAAAAGGGGCCAACAGCUUAGUAUCAUCACAUCAAGUUCUCAACUCCUGGAAGCCGGGAGGCUCUCUUAGGGUUUCCAGAUCACCAUACUGUCUGCUGAACUGCCCAUGCCCAAGUGUCUUCUGGAAUUCCUUAUAAAUUUCAAUAGGCACCUGGCCAACAGAACCCUGUUACUUUGCUUGUUUUUAAGGUGCAUUUCCAGGGCUAAACACUGUGCCCAAACAUUUUCAAAUUGCCCCGGCUAAUCUUCCAGGUAGUCUGUUACUCACUUUACUAAUCUCCCUGCCAGAUUAAGAACCCCAA